CCUAUGCUGCCGAGAAAAGCCUCUAGCGAGCUGGUACACGGCCCGUACCCCAAACCGACACAGGUGGUCAGGUAGAGAAUACUAAGGCGAUCGAGAGAACUGUGGUUAAGGAACUCGGCAAAAUGCCCCCGUAACUUCGGGAGAAGGGGGACCACGCCUGGUGAAGGGUUUUACACCUGGAGCUGGGUGGGGUCGCAGAGACCAGAGAGAAGCGACUGUUUACUAAAAACACAGGUCCGUGCGAAGUCGUAAGACGAUGUAUACGGACUGACGCCUGCCCGGUGCCGGAAGGUUAAGAGGACCGGUUAGCCUGUAAGGGCGAAGCUGAGAAUUUAAGCCCCGGUAAACGGCGGUGGUAACUAUAACCAUCCUAAGGUAGCGAAAUUCCUUGUCGGGUAAGUUCCGACCUGCACGAAUGGCGUAACGACUUCUCUGCUGUCUCAACCACAGACUCGGCGAAAUUGCAUUACGAGUAAAGAUGCUCGUUACGCGCGGCAGGACGAAAAGACCCCGAGACCUUCACUAUAGCUUGGUAUUGGUGUUCGGUACGGUUUGUGUAGGAUAGGUGGGAGACUGUGAAGCUCGGACGCUAGUUCGGGUGGAGUCGUCGUUGAAAUACCACUCUGAUCGUAUUGGACUUCUAACCUCGGACCAUGAUCUGGUUCAGGGACAGUGCCUGGUGGGUAGUUUAACUGGGGCGGUUGCCUCCCAAAAUGUAACGGAGGCGCCCAAAGGUUCCCUCAGCCUGGUUGGCAAUCAGGUGUUGAGUGCAAGUGCACAAGGGAGCUUGACUGUGAGACUGACAGGUCGAGCAGGGACGAAAGUCGGGACUAGUGAUCCGGCACCGGCAAGUGGAAGCGGUGUCGCUCAACGGAUAAAAGGUACCCCGGGGAUAACAGGCUGAUCUUCCCCAAGAGUCCAUAUCGACGGGAUGGUUUGGCACCUCGAUGUCGGCUCGUCGCAUCCUGGGGCUGGAGUAGGUCCCAAGGGUUGGGCUGUUCGCCCAUUAAAGCGGCACGCGAGCUGGGUUUAGAACGUCGUGAGACAGUUCGGUCUCUAUCCGCCGCGCGCGUAAGAAACUUGAGGAAGGCUGUCCCUAGUACGAGAGGACCGGGACGGACGAACCUCUGGUGUGCCAGUUGUUCCGCCAGGAGCACUGCUGGUUGGCUACGUUCGGAAGGGAUAACCGCUGAAAGCAUCUAAGCGGGAAGCCUGUUCCAAGAUGAGGUUUCUCUCCCACUUGAUGGGUUAAGGCCCCCUACAGACCAUGGGGUUGAUAGGCCAGAAUUGGAAGCCAGGUAACUGGUGUAGGUGACUGGUACUAAUAGGCCGAGGGCUUGC
rnacentral:rRNA from 1 species